rnacentral:rRNA from 1 species
ACACGACUACGAGUUGAUCCUGGCUCAGAACGAACGCUGGCGGCAUGCCUAACACAUGCAAGUCGAACGAACCCUUCGGGUUAGUGGCGCACGGGUGCGUAACACGUGGGAAUCUGCCCUUUGCUUCGGAAUAACAGUUAGAAAUGACUGCUAAUACCGGAUAAUGUCUUCGGACCAAAGAUUUAUCGGCAAAGGAUGAGCCCGCGUAGGAUUAGCUUGUUGGUGAGGUAAAGGCUCACCAAGGCGACGAUCCUUAGCUGGUCUGAGAGGAUGAUCAGCCACACUGGGACUGAGACACGGCCCAGACUCCUACGGGAGGCAGCAGUGGGGAAUAUUGGACAAUGGGCGAAAGCCUGAUCCAGCAAUGCCGCGUGAGUGAUGAAGGCCUUAGGGUUGUAAAGCUCUUUUACCAGGGAUGAUAAUGACAGUACCUGGAGAAUAAGCUCCGGCUAACUCCGUG